rnacentral:rRNA from 1 species
GUGGGGAAUAUUGGACAAUGGGCGCAAGCCUGAUCCAGCAAUGCCGCGUGAGUGAUGAAGGCCUUAGGGUUGUAAAGCUCUUUCACCGGGGAAGAUAAUGACGGUACCCGGAGAAGAAGCCCCGGCUAACUCCGUGCCAGCAGCCGCGGUAAUACGGAGGGGGCUAGCGUUGUUCGGAAUUACUGGGCGUAAAGCGCGCGUAGGCGGCUUGACAAGUUGGGGGUGAAAGCCCGGAGCUCAACUUCGGAAUUGCCUUCAAGACUGUCUCGCUCGAGGCAGGGAGAGGAGAGCGGAAUACCCAGUGUAGAGGUGAAAUUCGUAGAUAUUGGGUGGAACACCGGUGGCGAAGGCGGCUCUCUGGCCCUGAUCUGACGCUAAGGCGCGAAAGCGUGGGGAGCAAACAGGAUUAGAUACCCCGGUAGUCC